rnacentral:rRNA from 1 species
UCGCCUGUUUAACAAAAACAUGUCCUUUUGAUUUUUAUUUAAGGUCUAGCCUGCCCUAUGAUUUAUUAAAUGGCCGCGGUAUCCUAACCGUGCAAAGGUAGCAUAGUCACUUGUCUCUUAAUUAGAGGCUUGAAUGAAAGGUUGGACGAGAUAUAAACUUUCUUUGUUGUAUUAGCUUGAAUUUAACUUUUAGGUUAAAAGGCUUAAAUUUAUUUGUAGGACGAGAAGACCCUAUAGAAUUUUACAUAAUUAUAUAAAGGGGUUAUUUGGUUAAAUAGUAAUACUAAUUUAUUAUAAUUUAUGUUUUGUUGGGGCGACAGGAAGAUUUCUUUAACUCUUUUUUUUGUCAAUCAUUGAUUUAUGUUUUUUUGAUGAUCCUUUUUUAAAGAUUAUAAGAUUAAAUUACCUUAGGGAUAACAGCGUAAUUCUUUUGGAGAGUUCUUAUCGAUAAAAGAGUUUGCGACCUCGAUGUGGAUUAAAA